AGAAUCAACGCUGGCGGCGUGCCUAACACAUGCAAGUCGAACGCGAAAGUGGAGCAAUCCAUGAGUAGAGUGGCAAACGGGUGAGUAACGCGUGGGCGACCUACCUCUGAGUGGGGGAUAACCUUCCGAAAGGAGGGCUAAUACCGCAUGACAUCCCAGUUUUAGAUAGCUGGACAUCAAAGCCGGGGAUCGCAAGACCUGGCGCUUGGAGAGGGGCCCGCGUCCGAUUAGCUAGUUGGUGAGGUAACGGCUCACCAAGGCUCCGAUCGGUA
rnacentral:rRNA from 1 species